AAUCCGUGUUGUGGACACUAGCGAAGUAAACCCUUGUAUCGUUCUCAUGCCUCUGAAUAGCAUUCUGAGUCCAUUUGCUGAAAAGUAAUGAUCUCAUCCCUUAGAUU
rnacentral:snoRNA from 1 species